rnacentral:rRNA from 1 species
AUGGCGCCGGAGCAAGGGUCGCGUGGCGCCAAGGCCGACGCGGCGGCCAUGGAGACGGCGGGCCGAGGAGGAGGAGGGCGGCCGUCGUCGGGGGCGGAGGCGGGGUGGGCGUGGUCGUGGGCGUGCUGCGCCGUGGCGGCGGGCGUGGCGGCGGUGGGGCUGGCGGGGGCCGGGGUGCUGGUGUGGUGGGCGGUGGCGUUCCACCCGGCGCGGGAGCAGCUCUGGAUGGUGCCCGUCGGCCUCGUCCUCCUCGGCACCCCGCUCGUCGCCUGGCUCUCCCUCUUCGCCUCCGGCGCGUGCCGCCGCCUCGGGACCAGCCACCACCACCCGCCUCCGGCCGAGCGAUGA